GAUGAACGCUGGCGGCGUGCCUAAUACAUGCAAGUCGAGCGAACGGACGAGAAGCUUGCUUCUCUGAUGUUAGCGGCGGACGGGUGAGUAACACGUGGAUAACCUACCUAUAAGACUGGGAUAACUUCGGGAAACCGGAGCUAAUACCGGAUAAUAUUUUGAACCGCAUGGUUCAAAAGUAAAAGACGGUCUUGCUGUCACUUAUAGAUGGAUCCGCGCUGCAUUAGCUAGUUGGUAAGGUAACGGCUUACCAAGGCAACGAUGCAUAGCCGACCUGAGAGGGUGAUCGGCCACACUGGAACUGAGACACGGUCCAGACUCCUACGGGAGGCAGCAGUAGGGAAUCUUCCGCAAUGGGCGAAAGCCUGACGGAGCAACGCCGCGUGAGUGAUGAAGGUCUUCGGAUCGUAAAACUCUGUUAUUAGGGAAGAAUAUAUGUGUAAGUAACUGUGCACAUCUUGACGGUACCUAAUCAGAAAGCCACGGCUAACUACGUGCCAGCAGCCGCGGUAAUACGUAGGUGGCAAGCGUUAUCCGGAAUUAUUGGGCGUAAAGCGCGCGUAGGCGGUUUUUUAAGUCUGAUGUGAAAGCCCACGGCUCAACCGUGGAGGGUCAUUGGAAACUGGAAAACUUGAGUGCAGAAGAGGAAAGUGGAAUUCCAUGUGUAGCGGUGAAAUGCGCAGAGAUAUGGAGGAACACCAGUGGCGAAGGCGACUUUCUGGUCUGUAACUGACGCUGAUGUGCGAAAGCGUGGGGAUCAAACAGGAUUAGAUACCCUGGUAGUCCACGCCGUAAACGAUGAGUGCUAAGUGUUAGGGGGUUUCCGCCCCUUAGUGCUGCAGCUAACGCAUUAAGCACUCCGCCUGGGGAGUACGACCGCAAGGUUGAAACUCAAAGGAAUUGACGGGGACCCGCACAAGCGGUGGAGCAUGUGGUUUAAUUCGAAGCAACGCGAAGAACCUUACCAAAUCUUGACAUCCUUUGACAACUCUAGAGAUAGAGCCUUCCCCUUCGGGGGACAAAGUGACAGGUGGUGCAUGGUUGUCGUCAGCUCGUGUCGUGAGAUGUUGGGUUAAGUCCCGCAACGAGCGCAACCCUUAAGCUUAGUUGCCAUCAUUAGGUUGGGCACUCUAAGUUGACUGCCGGUGACAAACCGGAGGAAGGUGGGGAUGACGUCAAAUCAUCAUGCCCCUUAUGAUUUGGGCUACACACGUGCUACAAUGGACAAUACAAAGGGCAGCGAAACCGCGAGGUCAAGCAAAUCCCAUAAAGUUGUUCUCAGUUCGGAUUGUAGUCUGCAACUCGACUACAUGAAGCUGGAAUCGCUAGUAAUCGUAGAUCAGCAUGCUACGGUGAAUACGUUCCCGGGUCU
rnacentral:rRNA from 1 species